UACGUAGGGUGCAAGCGUUAAUCGGAAUUACGGGGCGUAAAGCGUGCGCAGGCGGUUCUAUAAGACAGAUGUGAAAUCCCCGGGCUCAACCUGGGAACUGCAUUUGUGACUGUAGAGCUGGAGUACGGCAGAGGGGGAUGGAAUUCCGCGUGUAGCAGUGAAAUGCGUAGAUAUGCGGAGGAACACCGAUGGCGAAGGCAAUCCCCUGGGCCUGUACUGACGCUCAUGCACGAAAGCGUGGGGAGCAAACAGG
rnacentral:rRNA from 1 species